GACGAACGCUGGCGGCGUGCCUAAUACAUGCAAGUUGAGCGAUGAAGAUUGGUGCUUGCACCAAUUUGAAGAGCAGCGCACGGGUGAGUAACGCGUGGGGAAUCUGCCUUUGAGCGGGGGACAACAUUUGGAAACGAAUGCUAAUACCGCAUAACAACUUUAAACAUAAGUUUUAAGUUUGAAAGAUGCAAUUGCAUCACUCAAAGAUGAUCCCGCGUUGUAUUAGCUAGUUGGUGAGGUAAAGGCUCACCAAGGCGAUGAUACAUAGCCGACCUGAGAGGGUGAUAGGACACAUUGGGGCUGAGACACGGCCCAAACUCCUACGGGAGGCAGCAGUAGGGAAUCUUCGGCAAUGGACGAAAGUCUGACCGAGCAACGCCGCGUGAGUGAAGAAGGGUGUCGGAUCGUAAAACUCUGUUGGUAGAGAAGAACGUUGGUGAGAGUGGAAAGCUCAUCAAGUGACGGUAACUACCCAGAAAGGGACGGCUAACUACGUG
rnacentral:rRNA from 1 species